rnacentral:lncRNA from 1 species
CGCCGCACUCCCUGCGAGCGCUGCUCAAGCAGUACUGCGCGCUGGCUGCCUACGAUGUGGCCAAGAGCUGAGCCAGGUGUGUAGUCUAGUAGCGACUGCGCCGACCUGUACUGCUGCGCCGCGCUCGCCGCGCAUGCGCGCUGCAGCCAGCCGUGUGGCCCGCCGCCGCACUCCCUGCGAGCGCUGCUCAAGCAGUACUGCGCGCUGGCUGCCUACGAUGUGGCCAAGAGCUGAGCCAGGUGUGUAGUCUAGUAGCGACUGCGCCGACCUGUACUGCUGCGCCGCGCUCGCCGCGCAUGCGCGCUGCAGCCAGCCGUGUGGCCCGCCGCCGCACUCCCUGCGAGCGCUGCUCAAGCAGUACUGCGCGCUGGCUGCCUACGAUGUGGCCAAGAGCUGAGCCAGGUGUGUAGUCUAGUAGCGACUGCGCCGACCUGUACUGCUGCGCCGCGCUCGCCGCGCAUGCGCGCUGCAGCCAGCCGUGUGGCCCGCCGCCGCACUCCCUGCGAGCGCUGCUCAAGCAGUACUGCGCGCUGGCUGCCUACGAUGUGGCCAAGAGCUGAGCCAGGUGUGUAGUCUAGUAGCGACUGCGCCGACCUGUACUGCUGCGCCGCGCUCGCCGCGCAUGCGCGCUGCAGCCAGCCGUGUGGCCCGCCGCCGCACUCCCUGCGAGCGCUGCUCAAGCAGUACUGCGCGCUGGCUGCCUACGAUGUGGCCAAGAGCUGAGCCAGGUGUGUAGUCUAGUAGCGACUGCGCCGACCUGUACUGCUGCGCCGCGCUCGCCGCGCAUGCGCGCUGCAGCCAGCCGUCCGGCCCGCCGCCGCACUCCCUGCGAGCGCUGCUCAAGCAGUACUGCGCGCUGGCUGCCUACGAUGUGGCCAAGAGCUGAGCCAGGUGUGUAGUCUAGUAGCGACUGCGCCGACCUGUACUGCUGCGCCGCGCUCGCCGCGCAUGCGCGCUGCAGCCAGCCGUGUGGCCCGCCGCCGCACUCCCUGCGAGCGCUGCUCAAGCAGUACUGCGCGCUGGCUGCCUACGAUGUGGCCAAGAGCUGAGCCAGGUGUGUAGUCUAGUAGCGACUGCGCCGACCUGUACUGCUGCGCCGCGCUCGCCGCGCAUGCGCGCUGCAGCCAGCCGUGUGGCCCGCCGCCGCACUCCCUGCGAGCGCUGCUCAAGCAGUACUGCGCGCUGGCUGCCUACGAUGUGGCCAAGAGCUGAGCCAGGUGUGUAGUCUAGUAGCGACUGCGCCGACCUGUACUGCUGCGCCGCGCUCGCCGCGCAUGCGCGCUGCAGCCAGCCGUGUGGCCCGCCGCCGCACUCCCUGCGAGCGCUGCUCAAGCAGUACUGCGCGCUGGCUGCCUACGAUGUGGCCAAGAGCUGAGCCAGGUGUGUAGUCUAGUAGCGACUGCGCCGACCUGUACUGCUGCGCCGCGCUCGCCGCGCAUGCGCGCUGCAGCCAGCCGUGUGGCCCGCCGCCGCACUCCCUGCGAGCGCUGCUCAAGCAGUACUGCGCGCUGGCUGCCUACGAUGUGGCCAAGAGCUGAGCCAGGUGUGUAGUCUAGUAGCGACUGCGCCGACCUGUACUGCUGCGCCGCGCUCGCCGCGCAUGCGCGCUGCAGCCAGCCGUGUGGCCCGCCGCCGCACUCCCUGCGAGCGCUGCUCAAGCAGUACUGCGCGCUGGCUGCCUACGAUGUGGCCAAGAGCUGAGCCAGGUGUGUAGUCUAGUAGCGACUGCGCCGACCUGUACUGCUGCGCCGCGCUCGCCGCGCAUGCGCGCUGCAGCCAGCCGUGUGGCCCGCCGCCGCACUCCCUGCGAGCGCUGCUCAAGCAGUACUGCGCGCUGGCUGCCUACGAUGUGGCCAAGAGCUGAGCCAGGUGUGUAGUCUAGUAGCGACUGCGCCGACCUGUACUGCUGCGCCGCGCUCGCCGCGCAUGCGCGCUGCAGCCAGCCGUGUGGCCCGCCGCCGCACUCCCUGCGAGCGCUGCUCAAGCAGUACUGCGCGCUGGCUGCCUACGAUGUGGCCAAGAGCUGAGCCAGGUGUGUAGUCUAGUAGCGACUGCGCCGACCUGUACUGCUGCGCCGCGCUCGCCGCGCAUGCGCGCUGCAGCCAGCCGUGUGGCCCGCCGCCGCACUCCCUGCGAGCGCUGCUCAAGCAGUACUGCGCGCUGGCUGCCUACGAUGUGGCCAAGAGCUGAGCCAGGUGUGUAGUCUAGUAGCGACUGCGCCGACCUGUACUGCUGCGCCGCGCUCGCCGCGCAUGCGCGCUGCAGCCAGCCGUGUGGCCCGCCGCCGCACUCCCUGCGAGCGCUGCUCAAGCAGUACUGCGCGCUGGCUGCCUACGAUGUGGCCAAGAGCUGAGCCAGGUGUGUAGUCUAGUAGCGACUGCGCCGACCUGUACUGCUGCGCCGCGCUCGCCGCGCAUGCGCGCUGCAGCCAGCCGUGUGGCCCGCCGCCGCACUCCCUGCGAGCGCUGCUCAAGCAGUACUGCGCGCUGGCUGCCUACGAUGUGGCCAAGAGCUGAGCCAGGUGUGUAGUCUAGUAGCGACUGCGCCGACCUGUACUGCUGCGCCGCGCUCGCCGCGCAUGCGCGCUGCAGCCAGCCGUGUGGCCCGCCGCCGCACUCCCUGCGAGCGCUGCUCAAGCAGUACUGCGCGCUGGCUGCCUACGAUGUGGCCAAGAGCUGAGCCAGGUGUGUAGUCUAGUAGCGACUGCGCCGACCUGUACUGCUGCGCCGCGCUCGCCGCGCAUGCGCGCUGCAGCCAGCCGUGUGGCCCGCCGCCGCACUCCCUGCGAGCGCUGCUCAAGCAGUACUGCGCGCUGGCUGCCUACGAUGUGGCCAAGAGCUGAGCCAGGUGUGUAGUCUAGUAGCGACUGCGCCGACCUGUACUGCUGCGCCGCGCUCGCCGCGCAUGCGCGCUGCAGCCAGCCGUCCGGCCCGCCGCCGCACUCCCUGCGAGCGCUGCUCAAGCAGUACUGCGCGCUGGCUGCCUACGAUGUGGCCAAGAGCUGAGCCAGGUCACCCAGUGAAAGCUCAGCCUCGGACAUUAGCAAGUGAAUACUCAGUGCGUCGCGCCCGUACGUACACAGCGUUACAUUAUGUAUAGUACCGUGUAUUCUAUCUCAUAGGAAUGUAUAAAUGGUGUAUGUUAUGUACCCGACUCGAUUCCACACUACGCAACAGUGUUUGCAGUUGUAUGUUUUUUUCUUGACUGUAUAGAAUCGAUGUCUUAAUAGUAUUGUUAUAGGCAGCUAAGUUGGCGUACUGACCAAUUAGUUUAAACCGGUUUUCUGUUAUUAGUAGACCCCGGAUUGUUGCCGCGAUGACGUCACAAUAGGGUGAUUUGGGGAGUAAAUGGAACAGUAUUAAUUAAUACGGAUUUAUUUAGAUAAGAUAAGAUAAGAAAUAUCAUAUAUUAUAGUGUUGAUGAAUACGAAAUUGUUACUUUUUUUUGUAUAUUAUUGCGAAACUUCCUAUAAAAAAUAUCGACGUUGCUCUUUCGUUAACAGACGCUCCAUAACAGAUCAAUAGUUUUUCUAAAUAACUUGCGGUUAGGCUACGUCUUCUAGUAAACAGUAGAAAUUUAAGUUUUGCAGUUAUAUACCUACCAAAAAAAUUAUAUUGAUAAAUUCACUGGGAAUUUUUUUUAUGAAAAAAUUUAGGUAUUUGGAUGUACCGUAAAUGAAAUUAUGUUUUUCUCUGGUGAAAUUAAUAUACAUUUUUAUCUUAUCUUAUAAUUUAUGUAUCAUUUUGUUCUACCUGUCCAUUUACUCCCCAAAUCACCCUAUUGUGACGUCAUCGCGACAACAAUCCGGGGUCUAGUUAUUAGACCCCUACAUAGAUGUAUGUAUGGAUGUUAGCUUUUUAAAACUGGAUCUCUGUGGUUCUUAAAAUAUA